rnacentral:rRNA from 1 species
GAUGAACGCUGGCGGCGUGCCUAAUACAUGCAAGUCGAGCGAACAGACGAGGAGCUUGCUCCUCUGACGUUAGCGGCGGACGGGUGAGUAACACGUGGAUAACCUACCUAUAAGACUGGGAUAACUUCGGGAAACCGGAGCUAAUACCGGAUAAUAUAUUGAACCGCAUGGUUCAAUAGUGAAAGACGGUUUUGCUGUCACUUAUAGAUGGAUCGGCGCCGCAUUAGCUAGUUGGUAAGGUAACGGCUUACCAAGGCGACGAUGCGUAGCCGACCUGAGAGGGUGAUCGGCCACACUGGAACUGAGACACGGUCCAGACUCCUACGGGAGGCAGCAGUAGGGAAUCUUCCGCAAAGGGCGAAAGCCUGACGGAGCAACGCCGCGUGAGUGAUGAAGGUCUUCGGAUCGUAAAACUCUGUUAUUAGGGAAGAACAAAUGUGUAAGUAACUAUGCACGUCUUGACGGUACCUAAUCAGAAAGCCACGGCUAACUACGUG